UUUAAGUAGCCAUGUUGUAUUGACUUUGUAUAAUGUGGUUGUAAAAAUGGAAUAGAAACUCGGCCUAA
rnacentral:sRNA from 1 species